UUUCAUCAUUUAACAUAAUAAAACAAUCAAAUUUUUACUUCUAAUUUCGUGUUUUAGUGAUUGAGUGGUUGCAAUCUUGUAUUUCAUUGGUAGUAAAAUCCAUAUGAGCCUGCUAACUGUUUGAUGAAAUGCCUCUGGGAGAAUCUCUGUCUUUUCUCUUUUUCUUGUGCCGUCUGUAUUAUAAGGGUUUUUUUUUUUCCUACAUUGUUACGACCUCCAUUUGAAGCUCAACUAUAAAGGCCCAACUAGGCAUGUUUGAGCUGCUUCUAUUCACUGCGUUGUAAUUUGUAGCAUAUGGCUAUUGGAAACUUGUUGCAUGAAUUUUUCUACUGCAUGCGUACAUGUGUUGCUUUUUGGAAUAAGUUUCUGAGCGAGCAAGCCUCUCUCAGAUUGUGCCCUUCUCCUUCAGAGGGAGCGUCUUUCACAAUGAGUUCAGAGUUCAAAGCGUGUUCUUUGUAUUUAAUGUUACAGAGGCUCAAUUGUUUGAACAAUUGGGGUCAUCAAUUUUGGGAUCACAAGUGAAAACUUUUUGCAUCUGAUCACGAGUGAACACUACUAGCUGCCUGGUUUCCUCAUCUUUGUGGUUAGCUGGUUGGAGGAGACAGGUUUGCACUCGGUGAAAUCAUCUCAGCGUACAUCUGAUUACUGGCCCAUUGAUGUCUUUGUCAAUCUCUAUUAAGCCUAAUAUAAAUAAUAGGAUUGUCAGUAAAUAAUUGGAUUGUCAGAGAUUUUACUUCUCUCUCGUGGCUCUUUUCUUGCUCCAUUGCGCAGAGCUGAAAAAGAGUCUUGACAGUAAAGAAAAUGCCAAAUAGAACUCGACCUAUGACUGCACUCUUGGUGUUUACUGGGCUGAAUAUUGUACUAGUUUCAACCAUUACUCCAGUCUAUGAUUUUGUCUGCUUCCUUCCAUACUGGGAAAGAAGGAGAGAACGACGUCGUCAGGAACGUGAAGCAAUUUUGUCAAAUGGUCCUGAAUCAAAAUAGAAUUAUUAGUGAGGUCAAACCUCUUGAGUUACAGGUUUUAAGCUUUUUCUAAUAUUUAAUGUAGUUCUGCUAUAUGAUUUAUUGUAAGAUUUUAGUAAAUUAAGGAUAAGAAGGUAUACGAAGCUUUUGCAUGCCUGCUUAUGGAUGUUCUCUCCGUAUUUUGUAUAAUCUAAUUAUAAAAUAUGUUUAAAAUAAAACCUUAAAGAUUUAGAGGA